rnacentral:misc_RNA from 1 species
AAACCCUCACAUGUCCCUCCCUCUUUGGAACAGUCAAAGUUGGGAGGUGUGCCUCUGUGGAUCUGGAUCGUUUGUGGACCUCCGAGUCUACAAUGGUCUUAAAUGAAAUGUCUACAGCUCUUGUUGUCCUCGACAAAGCCCAGAGUGCAUGAAUGGAGUUUGAAAAAACUUGAUCCUCACGAUGGUGUUUUGUUCAAAGGCUCACUUGUUGUGGACCCAACCAUUACAUUGGCGGAUGCAUCCCUGUUGGUGUGUCUUCCAAAA